rnacentral:rRNA from 1 species
GGAUAACUANUCGAAAGAUUAGCUAAUACCGCNUACGAUCUACGGAUGAAAGUGGGGGAUCGCCAGACCUCAUGCUCGUGGAGCGGCCGAUAUCUGAUUAGCUAGUUGGUGGGGUAAAGGCCUACCAAGGCAUCGAUCAGUAGCUGGUCUGANAGGACGACCAGCCACACUGGGACUGAGACACGGCCCAGACUCCUACGGGAGGCAGCAGUGGGGAAUUUUGGACAAUGGGCGCAAGCCUGAUCCAGCAAUGCCGCGUGAGUGAAGAAGGCCUUCGGGUUGUAAAGCUCUUUUGUCAGGGAAGAAACGGUUCGGGUUAAUACCUUGGGCUAAUGACGGUACCUGAAGAAUAAGCACCGGCUAACUACGUGCCAGCAGCCGCGGUAAUACGUAGGGUGCAAGCGUUAAUCGGAAUUACUGGGCGUAAAGCGUGCGCAGGCGGUUGUGCAAGACAGAUGUGAAAUCCCCGGGCUCAACCUGGNAAUUGCAUUUGUGACUGUACGGCUAGAGNNGUGUCAGAGGGGGGUAGAAUUCCACGUGUAGCANUGAAAUGCNUAGAGAUGUGGAGGAAUACCGANGGCGAANGCAGCCCCCUGGGAUAACACUGACGCUCAUGCACGAAAGCGUGGGGAGCAAACAGGAUUAGAUNNCCCUGGUAGUCCACGCCCUAAACGAUGUCUACUAGUUGUCNGGUCUUUAUUGACUUGGUAACGCAGCUNACGCGUGAAGUAAACCGCCNUGGGGAGUACGGUCGCAAGAUUAAAACUCNAAAGGAAUUGACNGGGGACCCGCACAAGCG